ACCGGAGUGACAGCAAAGGAAAGGCGGAGAGCGGGAGAAAGAAGCGUCUGCGCUGGCAAGCUCUCCCGGCAGCGCCGAGAGCCAGAGCUGCGGUGCUGCUGCGCCGAUGCUCCGUACGUUCGCAGUAACGGGUAGAGCGGAAGGCUCCGUGGCCAGGGAAGAGCGGCACGGACACGUUCCUGCUCGCUCCGUUGCACCGGAAUUUCGACGGCUGGGUUCGGCCGCUAAAUUGAUGGCGCUACCGGAAGAAAUUUCAGAAAAAAAGGGUGGCUUUUUCGUCGAUCUCUUUGUGAGAGUAUCAAAUCAGGCGGCGGUAAAUACGUAGAAGCAACUAGGCGUACUACGGCGUGUACCGGACAGCGUUGGCGUGCCGCUCUGCUAGCAGCGGAGAGCCAGAUGAGGAUGCCCGUGAUAUGAGAAAAGCUCUGUCCAGAGAUAUGGAGACGAAAUCAGUUGUACCUCACCCUGUGACACCGAA